rnacentral:rRNA from 1 species
AGCAGCCGCGGUAAUUCCAGCUCCAAUAGCGUAUAUUAAAGUUGUUGCAGUUAAAAAGCUCGUAGUUGAAUUUCGGGACUAGUACGUUGGUCGUGCCUUCGGUACGUACUGGUGUUACUGAUUCCUACCUUCUGACGAACCGUCAUGUCAUUAAUUUGGUGUGGCGGGGAAUCAGGACUGUUACUUUGAAAAAAUUAGAGUGUUUAAAGCAGGCUCGCGCUUGAAUACAUUAGCAUGGAAUAAUGAAAUAGGACGUUGACCCUAUUUUGUUGGUUUCUAGGAUUGACGUAAUGAUUAAUAGGGAUAGUUGGGGGCAUUAGUAUUCAAUUGUCAGAGGUGAAAUUCUUGGAUUUAUUGAAGACUAACUACUGCGAAAGCAUUUGCCAAGGAUGUUUUCAUUAAUCAAGAACGAAAGUUAGGGGAUCGAAGACGAUCAGAUACCGUCGUAGUCUUAACCAUAAACUAUGCCGACUAGGGAUCGGAUGAUGUUAUUUUUAAUGACUCA